rnacentral:tRNA from 1 species
GCCGGGGUAGCCUAGCGGUUAAGGCGGUGGGCUGCAGACCCGCUUUUCGCCGGUUCAAAUCCGGCCCCCGGCU